rnacentral:lncRNA from 1 species
CUGAGCACCUGCGAGUUUAUUGAGCACACCCUGUGGGCAUGGCUUCAGGUAUGCCAGGCAUGUACAGAGAAGCUGACAGGAUGAUAGUUCAUCUGUGUUUUCUUACUAAGAAUCCCUUGGUGCUGAUAUAACCCUAUUUAUCUAACACCUGUAAUUGCAUGUGGCUUUUGAAAGAUGUUAUGGUGGCUUGCUUCACCACUUAUGCUUCAACUGGCAUCCUGGCCGCAAUUUUACUCCCCUCCUCCCAAAGCUGUGAAAGUGGAGUGACUACUGGGAUCAAAGAGGGAGAGAUCCUUAGGGACUCAAAGUAGGGAUCAUCAC